rnacentral:rRNA from 1 species
AACGCGAAGAACCUUACCUGGGCUUGAACCGCUACUGACCAACGGUAGAAAUAUCCCUUCCCCGCAAGGGGCCGCUUUAUAGGUGCUGCAUGGCUGUCGUCAGCUCGUGUCGUGAGAUGUUGGGUUAAGUCCCGCAACGAGCGCAACCCUUAUCCCCAGUUGCCAUCAUUCAGUUGGGCACUCUGGUGAAACCGCCUCGGAUAACGGGGAGGAAGGUGGGGAUGACGUCAAGUCCUCAUGGCCUUUAUGUCCAGGGCUACACACGUGCUACAAUGGCCGGUACAAACCGUCGCAAACCCGCGAGGGGGAGCUAAUCGGAAAAAGCCGGCCUCAGUUCGGAUCGCAGUCUGCAACUCGACUGCGUGAAGCUGGAAUCGCUAGUAAUCGCGGAUCAGAACGCCGCGGUGAAUACGUUCCCGGGCCUUGUACACACCGGCUAC